UCGCGCUAUGCCGGGGAGUUGGCGGUGCCCUGUAACCCGCAAUCCGCCAUAGCGGGGGCGAAUAGUCUGGUGAGGCGGUUGUGGUUCGGUGGUCGGGGUGGCAGGCGCGGCGAUGAAGGGUGCGCUCCGAGCGACGGGGCGCCGUGAACCGGGUCAGGCCCGGAAGGGAGCAGCCCUAAGCGGAGAGCCCCGUGCGUUCGGGUUGGCGUACCUGGAGCCGAAAGCGGUCACCAGCCGACCGAGUCACGCCGUCGAUCCAGACCCGCGCGA
rnacentral:SRP_RNA from 1 species